UGCGCAGGCGGACUAAUAAGUCAGUGGUGAAAUCUCUCGGCUCAACCGAGAAACUGCCAUUGAAACUGUUAGUCUUGAGUAUAGUUGUAGUGGGCGGAAUAUAGCAUGUAGCGGUGAAAUGCUUAGAUAUGCUAUAGAACACCGAUCGCGAAGGCAGCUCACUAAACUAUAACUGACGCUCAGGCACGAAAGCGUGGGGAGCAAACAGGAUUAGAUACCCUGGUAGUCC
rnacentral:rRNA from 1 species